rnacentral:rRNA from 1 species
CGUAGGACCGGAGCGUUGUUCCGGAUUCAUUGGGCGUAAAGAGCUCGUAGGCGGCUGCUCAAGUCGAAUGUGAAACCUCGAGGCUUAACCUCGAGCCUGCAUUCGAUACUGGGCGGGCUAGAGUCUGGUAGGGGGAUCUGGAAUUCCUGGUGUAGCGGUGGAAUGCGCAGAUAUCAGGAGGAACACCGGUGGCGAAGGCGGGAUCCUGGGCCAGUACUGACGCUGAGGAGCGAAAGCGUGGGGAGCAAACAGGAUUAGAUACCCUGGUAGUCCACGCCGUAAACGAUGGGCGCUAGGUGUGGGAGGUCAUCGACUCCUUCCGUGCCGCAGCUAACGCAUUAAGCGCCCCGCCUGGGGAGUACGGCCGCAAGGCUA